ACACAUGCAGUCGAGCGGUAACAGGAUUAGCUUGCUAAUUUGCUGACGAGCGGCGGACGGGUGAGUAAUGCCUAGGGAACUGCCCAGUCGAGGGGGAUAACAGUUGGAAACGACUGCUAAUACCGCAUACGCCCUACGGGGNAAAAGAGGGGACCUUCGGGCCUUCUGCGAUUGGAUGUACCUAGGUGGGAUUAGCUAGUUGGUGAGGUAAUGGCUCACCAAGGCGACGAUCCCUAGCUGUUCUGAGAGGAUGAUCAGCCACACUGGGACUGAGACACGGCCCAGACUCCUACGGGAGGCAGCAGUGGGGAAUAUUGCACAAUGGGCGC
rnacentral:rRNA from 1 species